rnacentral:rRNA from 1 species
AGCAGUCGCCGCGGUAAUACAGAGGGUGCGAGCGUUAAUCGGAUUUACUGGGCGUAAAGCGUGCGUAGGCGGCUUCUUAAGUCGGAUGUGAAAUCCCUGAGCUUAACUUAGGAAUUGCAUUCGAUACUGGGAAGCUAGAGUAUGGGAGAGGAUGGUAGAAUUCCAGGUGUAGCGGUGAAAUGCGUAGAGAUCUGGAGGAAUACCGAUGGCGAAGGCAGCAAUCUGGCCUAAUACUGACGCUGAGGUACGAAAGCAUGGGGAGCAAACAGGAUUAGAGACCCCGGUAGUCCCUGUCUCUUAUAC